GGGAUUGUAGCUCAGUGGUAGAGCACUUGCCUAGCAUGUGUGAAGCACUGGGUUCGAUCCUCAGCACCA
rnacentral:tRNA from 1 species